rnacentral:rRNA from 1 species
UAGGGAAUCUUCCGCAAUGGGCGAAAGCCUGACGGAGCAACGCCGCGUUAGUGAUGAAGGUCUUCGGAUCGUAAAACUCUGUUAUUAGGGAAGAACAAAUGUGUAAGUAACUAUGCACGUCUUGACGGUACCUAAUCAGAAAGCCACGGCUAACUACGUGCCAGCAGCCGCGGUAAUACGUAGGUGGCAAGCGUUAUCCGGAAUUAUUGGGCGUAAAGCGCGCGUAGGCGGUUUUUUAAGUCUGAUGUGAAAGCCCACGGCUCAACCGUGGAGGGUCAUUGGAAACUGGAAAACUUGAGUGCAGAAGAGGAAAGUGGAAUUCCAUGUGUAGCGGUGAAAUGCGCAGGGAUAUGGAGGAACACCAGUGGAGAAGGCGACUUUCUGGUCUGUAACUGACGCUGAUGUGCGAAAGCGUGGGGAUCAAACAGG